rnacentral:snoRNA from 1 species
AUGCAGACAGUGAAGUGGACUGGGUCUUUUCCUCAGAGAAGUAUGCAACGGCUGCAACAGCACCCACUUUGGGAGAGGGUAGCCUGUUGCUUGUGCUGUCAUAAGGCACCUGGGAGACAGUU